rnacentral:rRNA from 1 species
GACGUAGGUGGCAAGCGUUACUCGGAAUUACUGGGCGUAAAGCGUGCGUAGGUGGUUCGUUAAGUCUGGUGUGAAAUCUCGGGGCUCAACCCCGAAACUGCACUUGAUACUGCCUUGCUAGAGUACUGGAGAGGAGAUUGGAAUUUACGGUGUAGCAGUGAAAUGCGUAGAUAUCGUAAGGAAGACCAGUGGCGAAGGCGAAUCUCUGGACAGUUACUGACACUGAGGCACGAAGGCCAGGGGAGCAAACGGG